AAAGCUAUAACGGUUGAUAAUGAGAUAAAUGUAUUAAAACGUGUGUUUAUAAGGUUAAGAGUGAGUUUCAAAAAAGUUUGUACCUAAAAGAUUCAUUUAGAGUUCAACCCGAAAAACUAAUAUUACUUGCUUAAGCUAGGUGCUUGUCUAGUUGAUUUCGGUGGAUUCUAUUGUGUUUAAAGUGUUCCAAAUGGUUUUUACAUGUAAUUAUAUGUGAAACAACCUGUUGAUAAUUCUCAAGGGUUAAUUGGAUCAAGCCAAGGGUCAAAACAAUGAGUUAAAGAUCAAAGUGAAAUAAGCCUAUGUUUGGCUAGUGUUUCUAGUUCAUCGUGUUGGAUGUUGUGUUGUUUUGAGCUUUAAAUUAUUGUGAUUAAUGUUAUAUGAUGCUUGUUUAAUGGAUUAUGAUGAUAUAUGAAUGAUAUGCAAGCUUUAAAUCAAGUGUGAAAACUCAAAAAGGCUCGGAAUGGCUCAACAAAGGCACAAUAUGCGGAUUGAUGCACUUUUGGACCCCUAGAGUAUCUUGGGCGCGUGUGGCUUGUAGGAGUGGCAAAUUGAUGUUUUCAAAACACCAAUGGAUUCAAAAUAGUCCCAAAUAUAAACCAAUAGGUGUGUGGCUCUACGAAAGUCGAUUAGCAUGUGACAAAUGCUCUACUCCACACCUAGGCAUUUUCAAGCUAAUUCGGCUUCUAUUGGGAUUUGGCUUACCCUUAUGCUAUAUAUAUAUAUAUAUAUGUUGUAUCACGUUUUUACAUACUUUUGGACGUAUUUGGACAAGAGGAGGCUGCUCUCCACAUUAUUUAGGUUUUAUCAUUCUUUAAUUUAGUUUCUUUCAUGGUUUGUAUCAUCAAUCCAAGGGAUUGGAUGAUGAAUAUUUCCAUUAAAGACAAACUCUCUUUUCGGGGUUAAGGCUAAGAUCAUGAUUAUUUCAUUUUGAAUUAAGUUUGUAAAUUUGCUUAUCAAUAUAGGUUUCUUGUUUAUUCUUGUUUUAACUAUUUUAAGGAUUAGAUACCCUUAGAAUACAUCAAUUAUCAACCUUGUGAUCUCAGGAAAGGGAAUAGGGAAAUAGAACAAGGGAGUAGGACCCCAGUGCAUGUAGUCACACAAACUAG
rnacentral:lncRNA from 1 species